ensembl:lncRNA
CUGUGCGACAGGCAUUGAGGCAGCGAGCGCAGAGAUGGCUUUAGGGAUGGAGAUGCUGCUUGAGGAGCCCGCAGAUAAGUUUUUCUAUUAAAAAAGAUAGGCGUUAGUGUAUUUCUUUAGGGAUUAUAAGUAGUGAAAAUACGGAGAUACUGCUUUGCAUUAAGUUCUUAGAUAAAUUUUAGGGAAAAUAUGAAGACUUAAAGAGUAGUUGGAGAAAGGAAGAGGGAAGAAAAAAGAUAAUUUUAGAACCUGAGGGAGGUUAAGAGCUGAAAUUUUUUCAUGGAGUGAAAAAUUUAAAAGAAUUGAUGAGCUAGGACUGCAAUGUCUGGAUUUUUUUUUUAAAGCCUUAACUUGAAGGGCAACCUUUUACCUUAACAUUAAAACGUUGGGUUACGUAAAUCGAACCUAAACGUUUUAAAAGGUUGAGUUGUAGGUGAUUAAAAUACUACAAAGGCCAUCUUAAGAUUUAACUGAAGGUGGUUUCAGAAAUAAUGCCUUCAGAUUCACGGCGCAGUAAAAAUGGCGUCAUUUGAAGCCUGCUUGAUACUAAGGCUUUGUUUGGCUAAAGUUGACGGAAAUAUUAGGAAUGGUAGGAAAGAAAAUUGGAAGUUUGAAGUGGAAAAUUCGGAAGACAGAAGUACAGGAAGGUGAAGAAAAAACUAGAGAAGAUAAGAGAUACACGUUUUAGAAGAUAAAACCUGAGCCUAGUAAGUAGGCAGAAAAAGACAAAUCUAGGAGAAAAUUGAAAAUACGGUCGAGUGCUUAAGAUAGAAUGAAAAGAAAGCUAUUGGACGCAAACAUACAAGAUAGACGUCCAAAAAUUUAGAUAGUUCAAAAUCAAUAAUGUUGGAUAAAUUACAGGAACAAAAACUAAGGAAAUUUUUAUAGCCAAUAAGAAUUUAUUGUAAAAGCCCAUCAACUUAUUUCUGGUGGUGCAAAAGUUAGAUCUCAGAAGAUGAGGGUUUUUUUUUUUAAAACUACUGUAGACCAGGACCAACUUAGAAGAAAAUCCGGAAACUAGGAGAGUCAAUUUAAAAUCUCAGCAAAAAGUUACUGAAGGGGACUGAAGUAACUUAAAAGUUAAGAAUGUAUUUGGGAGAGUUAAAAAUCUGAAAGGCCUUAAAUGCGGUAGCGUAGUUUCCUUUGGAAAAUGUAAAGGACUUUAUAAGUGAAUUAAAUUGAAGAGCAAGAAUAACCAUCGAGUUAUUGGACUUUGAGCUAAGAUGAAUGUUUAAAUCCUGAGGACUAGGCGCUAAAUAACAGCUGACGCAGGUGCUACGCAGAAGUGGAUUCAGUGAAGCUAGGAAGACAGGAGCGGCAGACAGGAUUCGGAGCCAGUGUUGGUGAAAACUAGGACUGAGGAGCCAGCGGCAGUUCGUGAAGAUAGGAAAGAGAAGCCCGGGAGCCAGUGCGACUUGGUGAAGGAAGCUAGGAAGAAGGAGCGAGUCCUAACGAUUUGGAGGUGAAGCUAGGAGAGGAUUCCAGGAAGGAGGAAGCCAGUGCGGUGUGGUGAAGCUAGCGUGCGGCUUGGCUUGGCAACCACGCGGAGGCGGCGAGCAGGCGGAGUGGAGGAUAGAUAGAGGAUCCUAGAGCAGCAGACCAGUGUACGAGCCCCGCAGGGAGAGCCAGUGGUGUGGUAAAAAUCCGUGAAGUCGGCACUAUCGUGGGUUUUUUUUCCUCCUGUAACUCAGUAUGGUAAUAUCUCUUAUUAAAUUUUCCUAAUAGUAAUGGGGGAGUUGUGUACUUAAGCAUAAAGGGGAUUUUAUUACGGGGAUGUAGGCCGGUUUUCGGGUGUCGUAGGUUUCUCUUUUUCAGGCCUAUUUUCUCAUGCAUCUUGUCUGGAGCUUUUGAGGGCAGACUUCAAGGCCCGGAGGAAUGGUAGAUGGUCUGUCUAGAAUUCCAAAGGCAAAUGACUCGAGGUAACAGGCGAAAAGAAAAUCCAAUAUCAGGAUAAUCAGAACACUGCAGGUUUACAGUUAUAGAAACUCUAGCACAAGCAGCUUUCACUUUGAGGUCUGUGGCGCAGCUGUCCAUUGGAGUAAUGGCUGGUAGUUUAUUCUUUUUUUCCCCACCCCUUUAUUAAAUAUUUUUAUAAAGUACGUAACUGGUUAUUUUUACUUAAAUAUUUUGGGGUGGUGUGAACAG